rnacentral:lncRNA from 1 species
GCUGAAGAUUAAACCCUGGAGUCUGACCCAUUGUGAGAGCAGCACCCUGACUCCUGGUGGCUCCUGCAGCAGCUUUUACACCCAUUUUUUUCUCAUGACGCUUCUUCUGGUUGGAAACUUAACAAAUUUCAUCAGGUAAGAGACACUAAAUGUGACCAUGUAACCCUUAUUUUAAAAUAAACCAGAGGGAGUAA